GACGAACGCUGGCGGCGUGCCUAACACAUGCAAGUCGAACGGAGUAAAACGCUGAAUUGAUGUAAGCUUGCUUAUGGAUUUUCUUGUUUUACUUAGUGGCGGACGGGUGAGUAACGCGUGAGUAACCUGCCUUACAGAGGGGGACAACAGUUGGAAACGACUGCUAAUACCGCAUGACAUAUCUUAGCUGCAUGGCUUAGAUAUCAAAGGAGCAAUCCGCUGUAAGAUGGACUCGCGUCCAAUUAGCUAGUUGGUGAGGUAACGGCCCACCAAGGCGACGAUUGGUAGCCGGACUGAGAGGUUGAACGGCCACAUUGGGACUGAGACACGGCCCAGACUCCUACGGGAGCAGCAGUGGGAAUCUUCCGCAAUGGACGAAAGUCUGACGGAGCAAUGCCGCGUGAGUGAUGAAGGUUUUCGGACCGUAAAGCUCUUUUGUUAUGACGAAUGUGCAUGAUGUGAACAA
rnacentral:rRNA from 1 species